GACGAACGCUGGCGGCGUGCUUAACACAUGCAAGUCGAGCGGUAAGGCCCUUUCGGGGGUACACGAGCGGCGAACGGGUGAGUAACACGUGGGUGACUUGCCCUCAGCUCUGGGAUAAGCCUGGGAAACUGGGUCUAAUACUGGAUAUGACUCCACGGUGCAUGUCGUGGGGUGGAAAGCCUUGUGCGGCUGAGGAUGGGCCCGCGGCCUAUCAGCUUGUUGGUGGGGUGAGGCCUACCAAGGCGACGACGGGUAGCCGGCCUGAGAGGGCGACCGGCCACACUGGGACUGAGACACGGCCCAGACUCCUACGGGAGGCAGCAGUGGGGAAUCUUGCGCAAUGGGCGAAAGCCUGACGCAGCGACGCCGCGUGAGGGAUGACGGCCUGG
rnacentral:rRNA from 1 species